rnacentral:rRNA from 1 species
GUAGGUGGCAAGCGUUGUCCGGAAUUAUUGGGCGUAAAGCGCGCGCAGGCGGUUCUUUAAGUCUGAUGUGAAAGCCCACCGCUCAACCGUGGAGGGUCAUUGGAAACUGGAGAACUUGAGUACAGAAGAGGAAAGCGGAAUUCCACGUGUAGCGGUGAAAUGCGUAGAGAUGUGGAGGAACACCAGUGGCGAAGGCGGCUUCCUGGUCUGUAACUGACGCUGAGGCGCGAAAGCGUGGGGAGCAAACAGGGAUUAGAUACCCUGGUAGUCCACGCCGUAAACGAUGAGUGCUAAGUGUUAGGGGGGUUUCCGCCCCCUUAGUGCUGCAGCUAACGCAUUAAGCACUCCGCCUGGGGAGUACGGCCGCAAGGCUG